CUGUAGGUUGCCACAUGUAACCCUCUGUGAUGUUUAGAUGGACUGCUGGCUGCCCCUCUCUUCCUCCCCAUAUAUGGUGAAUCAGGAACAUGAAGGUGCUGUGCAACAAUGGACUCAUUCCAGUUGAAUAUUCCUGGGAGCUUUGACAGGCCACCCCUGUAACUGGAUACCGUCAGAUGAUGCUCCAAAAUUUGUCUGUGUGGACUCUCAGCUGUUUUGCAUCCUCUCAUUGCACCACUGGGGUUCUCCAAAGCCCUUGUAGUCCCCAUCACAAUGACUAAACCCCACCUUUAGAGCUUCUUUGGUGACAGAAUCGGGACAGCUCCACCAUCAGCAGGAUCAAAGCCGCAGCAAGACAGAGAUGGAUUAAUAAGUAAAGAAAAGUGCAACAGAACAAGAAAGGCGCCCAGAUCGCACAAAGGCGGUAAAGUCACCUGGGGCCUCCAGAGGAGAAGAAGUUUUCAGACGUGUUUGUUUUGCUGUACUUGCCGAAAGAGUUUCUGUGCAUGAGUGUCUACCAUUCCAGGAACAGCAGGAGCAGAGGAGGAAGGAAGAUGGACUGCCACUGCUGUAGCUGGCAUACAGAAGUUUGAAGAGCAAAAGAAGGCAUGUGCUUACACCGGCAUUCACCCAGCAUGCCGCUGUUCAUUAUUCCACCAAUCUGUCAGCUCCUACUCCUGAAUCAUCGUGGUGACACAGAAGGAGGCGCGGCCAAGCCCCCCAGUCCCGUACAGUUAUUUUUGAUGUUUGAGGAUAUGAAUGGUUCAUUGAUUGCAAGAGAACGUGAACAAUACACAUUGAUAUGCAUGAGAAAAGAUUUGAAGUGUGUUCAAGCUUCAUGCCUUGGAUGUCUACUCAUGAGUCAUAUGAUUCGAAUUUUUCUUAUGUGUUGCACUUUGUCUUUUCCCACAUUUGUUCUGUUUCCUAAUUCUCUUUCUCUCUGUCCCUUGCUUGUUCUAUAAUUUCUCCUAUCCAUAUGUGUCCCAGUGCCUCAGGACAGCCUGUUGAGUUUAACACUGUCUACAGCACGACAUCUGUCAUAACUGCAAUAGAAAUUCUUAUCUCAGAAGAUCAUUUUGAGGCUGAGGCCCUACUCCUAGUAUCAGAGUAGAAUACAGCUACAGGCUCCGACGCUCUGUUUCCCCUGCAGUCAAUCACGAUGAAGUUCAACUCUAUUUAUUAAAAAACAGCAAAGCCUGA